AUCAAGAGCCCUACAGCUCGCUCGUGUGACCUCGAGCGUAGUACUGGACCUCUCUGAGCUGCUCUGAGACUGACUUAAUAGGGAAUCCCAAAGUGGUAGGUGGCACCUAUGGUGACAGCAUCCAUUGAAGGAUUUGAAUAGGGAAGAGCCUUGUUUGGAACUUGGCAACCAAUUAGACAUCAGAGUCAAAAAGCAGGGAUAUCAGUGCAGGGUCGCUGUGUGGCUGGAGGCGUCAGCAGUGGGUUUGAGGGAAAGGAGGAAGAAUUUAGUUUGUGAUGAGUUUGUGUUGCCUACACGAUAUCUGAGAAAAACCCUCAGCAAGUAGACGGGGCUGGGCCUGGAGUUCAAGAGGAAGGUAGGAGCAGAUGUCAGAAAUGGGGCACCGAUGCCCACCAGGGCAGUUAGGAGAAUAGCCAAGGAGAGUGGGCAGGACAGCCCCUUAUAUCUAGAGGCUGGGUUGGGAGAGAAAUGAUGGAGCCAGCGUCUUCAGAGAGGUCUGGUCCCCCGGGAGGGCCUCACACAGAGAGGGUCAAGCCCUAAGGAUCGUCUGGGCCCACCAACUCAUCUCACCAAGAGGCAGGUCAGAUGUGCUCAGCAUCACAGAGCGGGAAAAGGCAGUACUGGACCAGAACCCAGAACCUAGCACUUUCGACUCUGCAGGUGCACGUGUUCAGAGCCCUCAAGGUAGAGCAUGUAUCUUAGUUUCUUGUACUGGGCAGCUGAGAAGUCAGCUGGUCUGAGAGGCUGUUAGCUGUUUGACAUCACCGCAGAAGUUCUUGGCAUGAGUGGACACAAGACCCAACACCUUCUCUCCCC
rnacentral:lncRNA from 1 species